rnacentral:tRNA from 1 species
AGGGGCGUAGUUCAAUUUGUAGAGCACCGGUCUCCAAAACCGGGUGUUGGGAGUUCGAGUCUCUCCGCCCCUGCCA